UUUCCAUUGUUCCUUCUCUCUCUGUGUUGUUUUCACCCUUUCUCUCUGUAUUCUUCACUGUGCUUCGAUUGUUCCGUCGAUUUUGCCUUUGAUUUUUACUUUUCGAUUAUGUUUUCGAUUUUACUCUUCUAAUUAAAUCUGUUUUCGAUUUUUAGGGUUUGUGAACAAAAAAUCAAACGAUCCAUCAACAACGCUAACAAAUGAAGAAUCAAAAAGAUUCAUCAACAACGAACAAGAAUGCUCAAAUUCAUCUUUACAAUUGGCUGAGUUAGAAGGUAAUUUUUAUUAAAUCUAAAUUUUAGUGUUUAUAAAACCAAUAAAUUGUGAAUUUCAUGUAAUGCUUUCUGUGCUGCUAAUUUCUGAUCAAAUAUGAUGCUUUCUAUGCUACUAAUUUCUGAACCCAUAGUGAACCCAUACUGAACUGUGAUGCUUCCCUGAUUAACGUGUGAUGUUUUCUUGUUCAUAUUGUGAUGCUUUCUUUAUAAUGCAUUACAUGUUUAAAUUGAGAAGGAUAUUUUGUUUAUGUUGCGUAAUAUUUAAAUCUGGUAGAACUGUGAUUCUCAGUAUAUUGCUUUCAUAAUGCAUUUUCUUAGUAUACAGUGAUGCAUUACAUGAUGCUUUCAUCAAAACCAUCACAUAUUUAUCUAGAAAGUAUCACAUACAUGACUCGAGAAUAAGUUGGCUUAGUAUGAGUUUAAAUACUAACAAAUUUGAUCAGAAUUUUCUUCAUAGAUUGUUGUUUAUGUUGCGUUAUAUUUAAAUUUCAUAGUAUCUUUUUUUUUAUUGAACUGUGACUAAAACUCCGAGAACUAUAACACAUGUUAGUUCUAACGGGUCUACUGAGUGGUUUCCUUAUUGUGAAGAUGAUAAGAAGCCAUUUGUUGGUUUGGUUUUUGAAAAUUUAGAAAAUGCAUUUGAUUUUUAUACUAGGUAUGCAAAAAUUUGUGGUUUUGAUAUACGUUCGGCUACUACUUGUAAAUGCAAAGGUAUUAUUGUUUUGAAGUACUUUGUUUGUAGUAGGGAGGGAUUUAUGGUUUCUAGAGUUAAGAAAAAUAAGGGUGAUGUUAUACAGUUUAAGAGAUCAACGAAAAGAGUUGGUUGAAAGGCGAAGUUGAUAUUUAUAAUUGAUCAAAAGAAAGGAACGUAUUUUGUUUUCAAGUUUGUUGAGGGGCAUAAUCAUUGUCUUAUUAGCCCUACAUCGCAACACUAUUUAAGGGGUGAUAGGAAAUUAACUAUUUUACACAAGAACUCCAUAUCAAAAAAUGCACGAAUUAAUGUAGGACCAGUCAAAUCAUUUAGACUUUUUAUGGAAAAUGUAAGGAGUUAUGAAAAUGUGGGAGCUACUAUGCAAGAUUUCAAAAAUUUUCAUAGAGAUUUCAAAAUUUACAUCAAAGGUGAUGAUGGAAAGAUGUUGAUUGAGAAUUUCAUUAAGAAAAGAGAUAUUUUCCCAGGGUUUUAUUUUGACCAUGCACUAGAUGAGGAUAACCACAUUUCACGUCUUUUUUGGGCAGAUGCAAUAAGCAGGAAGAAUUAUGCCCUAUUUGGAGAGAUGGUCACCUUUGAUUGUACUUAUGAUACUUAUAAAUAUAGUUUGGUUUAGCUUCUUUUACCAGUGUAGAUCAUCAUAGGUCUUGCAUUAUAUUUGGUGUUGGUUUGUUGGAUGUAGAGGAUACUGAGUCAUUUGAGUGGUUGUUUAGGACUUUUUCAUACUUUAUGGGGGAUUGUGUGCCUACUUAUUUGAUAACUGAUUAAGACCCAGGCCAACAAUGAAAAUCGCAAUUAAGAAUUUUUUUUCCAAAUACAAUACAUAAACUUUGUAUGUGGCACAUAAUGAGCAAAGUCAUAUACAAAGUAGGACCAGAAUUGAACAAAGAUGAGUUUUUUUUUAAAGAAUUAAAUAGUUGUGUGUGGAAUGUUGAACAAGAAGAAAGUGAGUUUGAGGAGAAAUGGGAGGCAAUCAUGAUAAAGUAUAAUCUUCUUGAGGAUAAAUGGUUUCGUAACUUGUUUAGCAUACGAGACCAAUGGAUACCGGCAUAUUUUAGGGACAUCACAUUGGGACGGAUUUUGAGAACUACAUCUAGAUCAGAGAGCAUUAACAAUUAUUUUAACAAUUUUUCAAACCCAUACAUGACGCUUGUUGAUUUUUACAUGAGCUAUGAAAGUGCAAUGGAUGCCCAAAUAUAUAAACAAGAAAAGCUAAAUGUAUCAUCACUUCAUACGGUACCCCAAUUAAAAACUCCAUUGCCAAUUGAAAAGCAUGCUAGUGAAGUCUAUACAAGAACAAUAUUUUUUCUAUUUCAAUAUGAAGUUUAUAAGUAUAGUUUCAAGACUUAUAUUCAAAGUAUUGAAAAAAGUGAAAUUGUUGAAACUAUAAUUGUUUUGGACUCGGUAUUAGACAAGAUGUACAAAGUCACAUUUAUUGCAGGGAGUUCAAUUGAUGAGCUUCAAGUAGAUUGUGGGUGUAAGUUGUUCAAACGUAUUGGACUAUUAUGUUGUCAUGCGAUUUGUGUUAUGAGUGCAAGGCAAAUAACACAUAUCCCAAAGCAAUAUAUCUUAGAUCAUUUCUAUGAAGAAGCCUAUUUUUUAUAUGCAUGGCAAUUUGAUUGAAGACCAUAAAAAUUUGGACAACACGGGAAAAUUGAUGGGGGAAGUUUGGUCGGAAAUAUUCCAUUUUUUUGAUUUAGCUUAAGGGAGUAAAAGUGACUUACAAUCACUUCUAAAAAACCUCAAGGAAUUUAGUAGAAAAUUGGAGGAAAGUGAUGAUGUAAGGUUGGAAAUUACGAAAGAACAACAAAUAGAAUUUUUGUUAGGGCCAAAUUCAUCGUCAACAAUGGAAAUCCAUAACCCAAUACAAUCAAAAAAUAAGGGAAAGAGGCAGAGGAUAGUUAAUGAAAAGGAACAAAAUAUCGAGCAAAGCAAGAAGAACAAACGAAAGUGUAAAACUUGUGGGGAAUUUGAUUACCAUGAUAGUCGUAAUUGCCCAACAGGAAGAACAUCUUUGUAAAUAAGAGUUUGCUUUUGAUUAUCAUGAUAGUCGUAAUUGCCCAACAAGAAGAACAUCUUUGUAAAUAAGAGGUUGCUUUUGAUUACCAUGAUAGUCGUAAUUGCCCAACAAGAAGAACAUCUUUGUACACAAGGUUUCUUUUGAUUACCAUGAUAGUCCUAAUUGCCCAACAAGAAGAACAAGUUGCUUUGGGUUGCUGUUUACAAGUUGUUGCUUUACAUGUUGAUUUACAAGUUGCUGCUUUACAUGUUGAUUUACAAGUUGCUACUUCGUUGUUGUUUCACAUUUACAUGUAUUCUAUUAUGUCCAUUUUAUGUUAUGUAUUUCAUCUCAUUUUAUGUUCAUUUUUAUAUUUAUAUUUAUGAAGAAAGCAUUUUAUGUUA